rnacentral:rRNA from 1 species
CUAAUCUGCGAAAAGCGUCGGUAAGGUGAUAUGAACCGUUAUAACCGGCGAUGUCCGAAUGGGGAAACCCAGUGCAAUUCGUUGCACUAUCGUUAACUGAAUACAUAGGUUAACGAGGCGAACCGGGGGAACUGAAACAUCUAAGUACCCCGAGGAAAAGAAAUCAACCGAGAUUCCCCCAGUAGCGGCGAGCGAACGGGGAGCAGCCCAGAGUCUGAAUCAGCUUGUGUGUUAGUGGAACGGUCUGGAAAGUCCGACGGUACAGGGUGAUAGUCCCGUACACCAAAAUGCACAGGUUGUGAACUCGAAGAGUAGGGCGGGACACGUGGUAUCCUGUCUGAAUAUGGGGGGACCAUCCUCCAAGGCUAAAUACUCCUGACUGACCGAUAGUGAACCAGUACCGUGAGGGAAAGGCGAAAAGAACCCCGGCGAGGGGAGUGAAAAAGAACCUGAAACCGUGUACGUACAAGCAGUGGGAGCACCUUCGGGUGUGACUGCGUACCUUUUGUAUAAUGGGUCAGCGACUUAUAUUCUGUAGCAAGGUUAACCGUAUAGGGGAGCCGCAGGGAAACCGAGUCUUAACUGGGCGUUAAGUUGCAGGGUAUAGACCCGAAACCCGGUGAUCUAGCCAUGGGCAGGUUGAAGGUUGGGUAACACUAACUGGAGGACCGAACCGACUAAUGUUGAAAAAUUAGCGGAUGACUUGUGGCUGGGGGUGAAAGGCCAAUCAAACCGGGAGAUAGCUGGUUCUCCCCGAAAGCUAUUUAGGUAGCGCCUCGUGAACUCAUCUUCGGGGGUAGAGCACUGUUUCGGCUAGGGGGUCAUCCCGACUUACCAACCCGAUGCAAACUACGAAUACCGAAGAAUGUUAUCACGGGAGACACACGGCGGGUGCUAACGUCCGUCGUGAAGAGGGAAACAACCCAGACCGCCAGCUAAGGUCCCAAAGUCAUGGUUAAGUGGGAAACGAUGUGGGAAGGCACAGACAGCCAGGAUGUUGGCUUAGAAGCAGCCAUCAUUUAAAGAAAGCGUAAUAGCUCACUGGUCGAGUCGGCCUGCGCGGAAGAUGUAACGGGGCUAAACCAUGCACCGAAGCUGCGGCAGCGACACUAUGUGUUGUUGGGUAGGGGAGCGUUCUGUAAGCCUGCGAAGGUGUGCUGUGAGGCAUGCUGGAGGUAUCAGAAGUGCGAAUGCUGACAUAAGUAACGAUAAAGCGGGUGAAAAGCCCGCUCGCCGGAAGACCAAGGGUUCCUGUCCAACGUUAAUCGGGGCAGGGUGAGUCGACCCCUAAGGCGAGGCCGAAAGGCGUAGUCGAUGGGAAACAGGUUAAUAUUCCUGUACUUGGUGUUACUGCGAAGGGGGGACGGAGAAGGCUAUGUUAGCCGGGCGACGGUUGUCCCGGUUUAAGCAUGUAGGCUGGUUAUCCAGGCAAAUCCGGAUAAUCAAGGC